rnacentral:rRNA from 1 species
UCAUGGCUCAGGACGAACGCUGGCGGCGUGCUUAACACAUGCAAGUCGAACGAUGAUGCCCAGCUUGCUGGGCGGAUUAGUGGCGAACGGGUGAGUAACACGUGGGUGAUCUGCCCUGCACUUCGGGAUAAGCCUGGGAAACUGGGUCUAAUACCGGAUAUGACCAUGGGAUGCAUGUCCUGUGGUGGAAAGGUUUACUGGUGCAGGAUGAGCCCGCGGCCUAUCAGCUUGUUGGUGGGGUAAUGGCCUACCAAGGCGACGACGGGUAGCCGGCCUGAGAGGGCGACCGGCCACACUGGGACUGAGACACGGCCCAGACUCCUACGGGAGGCAGCAGUGGGGAAUAUUGCACAAUGGGCGAAAGCCUGAUGCAGCGACGCCGCGUGAGGGAUGACGGCCUUCGGGUUGUAAACCUCUUUCAGCAGGGACGAAGCGCAAGUGACUGUACCUGCAGAAGAAGCACCGGCUAACUACGUGCCAGCAGCCGCGGUAAUACGUAGGGUGCGAGCGUUGUCCGGAAUUACUGGGCGUAAAGAGUUCGUAGGCGGUUUGUCGCGUCGUGUGUGAAAUCCCGCAGCUCAACUGCGGGCUUGCAGGCGAUACGGGCAGACUUGAGUACUGCAGGGGAGACUGGAAUUCCUGGUGUAGCGGUGAAAUGCGCAGAUAUCAGGAGGAACACCGGUGGCGAAGGCGGGUCUCUGGGCAGUAACUGACGCUGAGGAACGAAAGCGUGGGUAGCGAACAGGAUUAGAUACCCUGGUAGUCCACGCCGUAAACGGUGGGCGCUAGGUGUGGGUUUCCUUCCACGGGAUCCGUGCCGUAGCUAACGCAUAAGCGCCC